rnacentral:rRNA from 1 species
GAUGAACGCUGGCGGCGUGCCUAAUACAUGCAAGUCGAGCGAGCGGACGAGAAGCUUGCUUCUCUGAUGUUAGCGGCGGACGGGUGAGUAACACGUGGAUAACCUACCUAUAAGACUGGGAUAACUUCGGGAAACCGGAGCUAAUACCGGAUGAUAUUUUGAACCGCAUGGUUCAAAAGUGAAAGACGGUCUUGCUGUCACUUAUAGAUGGAUCCGCGCUGCAUUAGCUAGUCGGUAAGGUAACGGCUUACCAAGGCAACGAUGCAUAGCCGACCUGAGAGGGUGAUCGGCCACACUGGAACUGAGACACGGUCCAGACUCCUACGGGAGGCAGCAGUAGGGAAUCUUCCGCAAUGGGCGAAAGCCUGACGGAGCAACGCCGCGUGAGUGAUGAAGGUCUUCGGAUCGUAAAACUCUGUUAUUAGGGAAGAACAUAUGUGUAAGUAACUGUGCACAUCUUGACGGUACCUAAUCAGAAAGCCACGGCUAACUACGUG